rnacentral:rRNA from 1 species
UACGGAGGGUGCAAACGUUGCUCGGAAUCAUUGGGCGUAAAGCGCACGUAGGCGGUCCAGCAAGUCGGGUGUGAAAGCCCUCGGCUUAACCGAGGAAGUGCAUUCGAAACUACUGGACUUGAGUACUGAAGAGGAUCGCGGAAUUCCCGGUGUAGAGGUGAAAUUCGUAGAUAUCGGGAGGAACACCAGUGGCGAAGGCGGCGAUCUGGGCAGAUACUGACGCUGAGGUGCGAAAGCGUGGGGAGCAAACAGG